rnacentral:rRNA from 1 species
UACAGAGGGGGCAAGCGUUGUUCGGAAUUACUGGGCGUAAAGGGCGCGUAGGCGGCCUGUUAAGUCGAACGUGAAAGCCCCAAGCUUAACUUGGGAACUGCGUCCGAUACUGGCAGGCUUGAAUUCGGGAGAGGGAUGUGGAAUUCCAGGUGUAGCGGUGAAAUGCGCAGAUAUCAGGAAGAACACCCGUGGCGAAGGCGGUUCUCUGGGACGGUACUGACGCUGAGGCACGAAAGCGUGGGGAGCAAACAGG